rnacentral:sRNA from 1 species
GCUGGGUACAGUGGUGCAUACCUGUAGUUCCAGCUACCUGGGAGGCUGAGGCAGAAGGAUCACUUGAAUUCAGAAGUUCAAGAUCAACUGCUUUUU